rnacentral:rRNA from 1 species
UACGUAGGUGGCAAGCGUUGUCCGGAAUUAUUGGGCGUAAAGCGCGCGCAGGCGGUCCUUUAAGUCUGAUGUGAAAGCCCUCGGCUCAACCGAGGAGGGUCAUUGGAAACUGGAGGACUUGAGUGCAGAAGAGGAAAGUGGAAUUCCAAGUGUAGCGGUGAAAUGCGUAGAGAUUUGGAGGAACACCAGUGGCGAAGGCGGCAUCCUGGACCGGUAUUGACGCUGAUGAGCGAAAGCCAGGGGAGCAAACGGG